AAGGCUCUCAGCUCCAGGCACGGCCCUCGGAAAUGGCCUGGAGUUUUUCGGCGAGGCGGCCGGUAAGGCGCCUCCCACUUUUC
rnacentral:ncRNA from 1 species